GACCUCGGAUCAGGUAGGGAUACCCGCUGAACUUAAGCAUAUCAAUAAGCGGAGGAAAAGAAACCAACAGGGAUUGCCUCAGUAACGGCGAGUGAAGCGGCAACAGCUCAAAUUUGAAAUCUGGCUCUUUCAGGGUCCGAGUUGUAAUUUGUAGAAGAUGCUUUGGGUGUAGCUCCGGUCUAAGUUCCUUGGAACAGGACGUCAUAGAGGGUGAGAAUCCCGUUUGUGGUGUGGACUACCUUGGCUCUGUGAUACACUCUCAACGAGUCGAGUUGUUUGGGAAUGCAGCUCAAAAUGGGUGGUAAAUUCCAUCUAAAGCUAAAUACUGGCGAGAGACCGAUAGCGAACAAGUACCGUGAGGGAAAGAUGAAAAGCACUUUGGAAAGAGAGUGAAACAGUACGUGAAAUUGUUGAAAGGGAAGCGUUUGAAGUCAG
rnacentral:rRNA from 1 species